GAUGAACGCUAGCUACAGGCUUAACACAUGCAAGUCGAGGGGUAACGAGAGGAAAGCUUGCUUUCCUCGUCGACGACCGGCGCACGGGUGAGUAACGCGUAUCCAACCUGCCCCCAACUAGGGAAUAACCUUGCGAAAGUAAGACUAAUACCCUAUAAUUUCCUCAGAUGACAUCUGACGAGGAGUAAAGAUUUAUCGGUUGUGGAUGGGGAUGCGUCUGAUUGGCUUGUUGGCGGGGUAACGGCCCACCAAGGCAGCGAUCAGUAGGGGUUCUGAGAGGAAGGUCCCCCACAUUGGAACUGAGACACGGUCCAAACUCCUACGGGAGGCAGCAGUGAGGAAUAUUGGUCAAUGGGCGGAAGCCUGAACCAGCCAAGUAGCGUGCAGGAUGACGGCCCUAUGGGUUGUAAACUGCUUUUAUACAGGAAUAAAGUUAGCCACGUGUGGUUAUUUGUAGGUACUGUAUGAAUAAGGACCGGCUAAUUCCGUGCCAGCCGCCGCCGUAA
rnacentral:rRNA from 1 species